rnacentral:rRNA from 1 species
CUGUCAGCCGCCGCGGUAAGACAGAGGGUGCAAACGUUGCUCGGAAUUACUGGGCGUAAAGCGCGUGUAGGCGGGCCUUCAAGUCGGACGUGAAAGCCCUGAGCUCAACUCAGGAACUGCAUCCGAAACUGAAGGCCUGGAGUAGUGGAGAGGGAAGCAGAAUUCCUGGUGUAGAGGUGAAAUUCGUAGAUAUCAGGAGGAACACCGGUGGCGAAGGCGGCUUCCUGGCCAUUCACUGACGCUGAGACGCGAAAGCGUGGGGAGCAAACAGGAUUAGAUACCCCGGUAGUCC